UAGGUCUUGAAGCUUGAAGUUUCUAAAAGCUUUGGUACUUAUAAUAAAUAUUUAUGGUUCAUAUCUGCCUCCUCUUGAACGAAUUAAUUUGAACUUUUGUUUACCAAUAUCCUAACUCAUCAUUGUACUUUUUUGAUGAGGAUAUAGUUAUAUUGAUAUGCUAGACAUGGAAGAAACUACUAAGAAAAAACAUAAGAAAGAGCAUAAGCACAAACACAAAAAGCAUAGUUCAGAAAAGUCCGACGCCAGUAAAAAACAUAAAAAGCAUAAGAAGCACAAGACCAAGCAUAAUGACUCUAAAAGUAAAAGUGAUACUAGUACUGCAAAUGAAAGAUAUACCCCUGAAAUUUCCCCAAGGAAGUCUCUGGAUGACAAAGUUGAGAAAGAGGAUUGCGUUAUUGAAGAAAUUCCUAAAAUCGAAUUAGAUCCUAUUGAUGUUGUUAAAGAUUUAUCAUGCGGAUUGGUGGAAACACAUUCACUUGAAAUAAUAUCAUCGGAAAGCGAUGAAUUGCCUGAAGUUGAUUGUGACAGUGACGCUAUAAAUGUGGAUGUAAUCGAAGCUGAUAUGGAUUUAGAAGAAUUGAUGAAACAAAAGGAGCUUCUUCAAUUAGAAAUUGCUAGAGCUGAACUGGAGAAUAAUGGAGGUAAAAAGGAAACUAAAAUGGUUAUAGAUGAAGUCAUUCUUUUAGACGAUUCAAGCAAUGAAGCCCCAAUAGUUUUUGGUUCUAAAAAAAGGGAACGGUCUAAUGGUAAUGAAAAUAGAAGAGAAACGAAAGUUCCUAAGUUAAAGUUGGAUAAUAAAAGAAAAGAACGUUCAUCUAGUAGAGACAGAGCAAAUAAGCACAAAACAUAUAGGGAAAGAUUAAAUAGAGAAGAUAGAAAAAUAGAUUUAGAUAGAUCGAGAGAAAGGAGAAGUGAAGAUAGACAGAGAAGGGUAAUGGAUUCCAGAUCAUCCGAUAGAUAUUCUAGGGAACGUUCCUAUGCUCAAGAACAUGAUCAUCACAGAUAUGAAGAUCAUCGGAUGAGAAAUAGGAGGCUAGAUGAUCUUAGAUAUUCACGGGAUAGAUCAAGGGGUAAUAAUUAUAAUUCCAAUUCCAAAAACGGGUAUGAUAAAUCCAGAGAUAGAUAUGACAAGCAUCAUCGUUCACAUAAAUCAGAGAAACAAGAUAAGUUCAAAGAUUCUUUGAGUGAAGGGAUGAAAAAUAAGCAGAGUGAAAGUAGUGACUCUGAAAUUAAUGUCGAUUUCAAUGAAGAGGAGGAAGAUGAAGAGCAAAUUAUUGAGAAAAGAAGAAAACAGAGAGAGGAACUUUUAAAAAGACUUGAAGGUAACACACAAUCAAAUGAAGAUUCUAACACGAAUAUAUCGGAACCGUCAUCACCAAAGCCGCAAUUGAAAGAGAAUUCUUGUUUGGCUCAAACCGAUAAAGCGGAAUCGGAGGAUGAAAAUUGUAAAUCCAAAGAAGAAGGAAAGCAAAUUAGUAUUCACAGUGAAGAAUCACUCACGCCUCCUCUGCUGCCAAAUAUGAAAGUUAAAAUUGUGGAAAAGAAAGAUGUGAAAACUAUAAAACCACAAAAUAACUGGGAUAUGUUUGCUGAGCAGGAUAGCUAUAAAGCAAAUUCGUCACCUAGUACCAUAAUUUCGAAAGGUUCUGGUGCGGAAAAUCCCGCAUUAACAGAUAAUUGGGACGAUGCUGAAGGUUACUAUAGAGUCAGAAUCGGUGAAAUUUUGGAUAAUCGCUACAUGGUAUAUGGCUAUACUGGUCAGGGAGUAUUCAGUAAUGUUAUCAGAGCUAGAGAUCAAGCAAGGAGCAAUCAGGAUGUUGCAGUUAAAAUUAUAAGGAAUAAUGAGAUUAUGCACAAAACCGGAUUGAAAGAACUCGAGAUUCUGAAGAAAUUGAACGAUGCAGAUCCGGAAGAUAAACUGCACUGUUUGAGACUCAUCAGACACUUCUUCCACAAACAACAUCUAUGUAUGGUUUUCGAACCUCUGGCCAUGAAUCUUAGGGAGGUUCUCAAGAAAUAUGGAAAAGAUGUUGGCUUACAUGUGAAAGCGGUGCGUAGUUACACCCAGCAGUUGCUGUUGGCCUUGAAGCUGCUGAAGAAAACCGGUAUCUUGCAUGCAGAUAUUAAACCCGAUAAUAUUCUGGUAAACGACAGCAAGUUGGUCUUGAAAUUGUGCGACUUUGGUUCAGCCUCUUACGUGAAUGAUAACGACAUCACUCCGUAUCUUGUAUCGAGAUUUUAUAGGGCUCCAGAGAUAAUCUUAGGAAUACCCUAUGAUUAUGCCAUUGAUAUGUGGUCCGCCGCGUGCACCAUCUACGAACUGUACACCGGGAAGAUAUUAUUUUCCGGUAAAUCCAACAAUCAGAUGCUGAAAUUUUUCAUGGACGUUAAAGGAAAGUUUCCCAACAAAGUUAUAAGGAAAGGGGCGUUCAAAGAUCAGCAUUUCGAUUCAAACUGUAACUUCCUCUACCAUGAAAUCGAUAAGGUCACUGAGCGGGAAAAAAUAGUAGUUCUGUCGGUAAACAAAGUAACAAGAGACCUACAGUCCGAGCUAGUAGGUAGCCAAGUUCUGCCCGCCGACCAACUACGAAAAGUAACCCAGCUAAAGGAUCUACUGGAGAAAGCACUGGCCAUAGAUCCGGUAAAAAGAAUAAGCCUAAACAAUGCUCUCACUCAUCCGUUUAUCCAGGACAAGAUCUGAAAUCAGGUUUGGAGAGAAUGAGUUUCACUUGGCGCGAAUGCCCAUGGGGACUUUGAAAAUCGUUGAGAGACCUCCGAAUUUCGAUAGAAUUUGAAGAGGUCCCGAAAGGGAAGUACUUUUCAAGACAGAGGAGAUAAAUUGAAUUCGGUAAUAGGAAGUUUGAAAUCAGGAAAAAUUGUAAGCAAAACGAUUUUGAAAGUGUUUUUCUCAUUUUAGUGUUUCACGAAAAUAUUUAGCUGAAUUAUUGGAAAAUGUUCAGUGAAAAUAUGGGAAUUUAAUCUAUAUGGACAAGAACUCAGUGAAGGUAAUGUUUUUACUUGAGAACUGUUACAAAAUUUAUCCAAUGAUGAUGACUGCUUUUCGGUCAGGUACGGGGAUUUGAUGCA